rnacentral:rRNA from 1 species
GAACCGUCCAAACGUUUAUUCGGAAUUACUGGGCUUAAAGGGUUUGUAGGCGGCCAUGUAAGUGGGGUGUGAAAUCCCUCGGCUCAACCGAGGAAUAGCGCUCCAAACUGCAUGGCUUGAGGGAGACAGGGGUUAGCGGAACUGAUGGUGGAGCGGUGAAAUGCGUUGAUAUCAUCAGGAACACCGGUGGCGAAAGCGGCUAACUGGGUCUCUUCUGACGCUGAGAAACGAAAGCUAGGGUAGCGAACGGGAUUAGAUACCCCGGGUAGUCCUAGCUGUAAACGAUGAGCACUUGGUUGGGGAUCCCUCCCCAUAGGUUCUCGACCGUAGCGAAAGUGUUAAGUGCUCCGCCUGGGGAGUAUGUCGCAAGGCUG